GAAAAGAACUUUGAAAAGAGAGUUAAAUAGUACGUGAAAUUGUUGAAAGGGAAACGAUUGAAGUCAGUCGUACUGGCGAAAAAUCAACUACUCGAGUGAGUACUUGUGGGCGUAUGUGAGCUUCACGGCCGCGUUGUCUGCAAUGUUCGUGCUCUUGUGGUGUACUUUUUCGUGUGGUAGGUCAAUGUCGGUUUUGGACGCCAUAAAAUGAUCGGAGGAAUGUAGCUUCGACCUCGGUUGAAGUGUUAUAGCCUUUGGUAGAUGUGGUGUUUGGGAUCGAGGAUUGCAACGAAUACCCUUUUGGGCUAUCCGUCUGACCUCUGAUGGUUAGCUGGGUGCCGAAAGCGUGCUUACGGUUAUCCAAGUUGACUGUCAAUAGAUUAGAACGUGAUUACAUUCG
rnacentral:rRNA from 1 species